AGAGUUAAAUAGUACGUGAAAUUGUUGAAAGGAAAACGAUUGAAGUCAGUCGUGCCAGUGGGAAAUCAACUUGGUGGGUUUUGGGUUCUUGGGUUGAGACAGGGUCAAACCAUCUCUCUUUUGAACUCGGGGUUUACCUUGUGUACUUUCUUUUUGGCAGGUCAACGUCGAUUUUGGGGGUUAUAAAAUAACUGGGGGAAAGUAGCUCCUUUCGAGAAGUGUUAUAGACCCUGGGAGAUGCAGCCCGCGGGAUCAAGGAUUGCAGCAAAUGCUUUUUUAGCUUGUCGCCUGUCCGCUGAAAGUCGCCCCGUUGGUAACAAUAUUUCUUGAUACUCGGUGGGACUUGUCGGUCACCGGUUAGAGCGAUCUAAAUUUUGCUAAGGAUGUUGACGUAAUGGCUUUAAACGA
rnacentral:misc_RNA from 1 species